AUGAACGCUGGCGGCAGGCCUAACACAUGCAAGUCGAACGGUAACAGGAAGCAGCUUGCUGCUUUGCUGACGAGUGGCGGACGGGUGAGUAAUGUCUGGGAAACUGCCCGAUGGAGGGGGAUAACUACUGGAAACGGUAGCUAAUACCGCAUAACGUCGCAAGACCAAAGAGGGGGACCUUCGGGCCUCUUGCCAUCGGAUGUGCCCAGAUGGGAUUAGCUAGUAGGUGGGGUAAAGGCUCACCUAGGCGACGAUCCCUAGCUGGUCUGAGAGGAUGACCAGCCACACUGGAACUGAGACACGGUCCAGACUCCUACGGGUGGCAGCAGUGGGGAAUAUUGCACAAUGGGCGCAAGCCUGAUGCAGCCAUGCCGCGUGUAUGAAGAAGGCCUUCGGGUUGUAAAGUACUUUCAGCGGGGAGGAAGGGAGUAAAGUUAAUACCUUUGC
rnacentral:rRNA from 1 species